rnacentral:rRNA from 1 species
UACGGAAGGCAGCAGGGGGGAAUAUUGCACAAUGGGCGCAAGCCUGAUGCAGCCAUGCCGCGUGUAUGAAGAAGGCCUUCGGGUUGUAAAGUACUUUCAGUCGUGAGGAAGGUGUUAAGGUUAAUAACCUUAGCAAUUGACGUUAGCGACAGAAGAAGCACCGGCUAACUCCGUGCCAGCAGCCGCGGUAAUACGGAGGGUGCGAGCGUUAAUCGGAAUUACUGGGCGUAAAGGGCACGCAGGCGGUUAAUUAAGUUGGAUGUGAAAUCCCCGGGCUUAACCUGGGAAUGGCAUUCAAGACUGGUUAGCUAGAGUCUUGUAGAGGGGGUAGAAUUCCAUGUGUAGCGGUGAAAUGCGUAGAGAUGUGGAGGAAUACCGGUGGCGAAGGCGGCCCCGUGGACAAAGACCUGACGCUCAUGUGCGAAAGCGUGGGGAGCAAACGAGGAUUAGAUACCC